GACGAACGCUGGCGGCGUGCUUAACACAUGCAAGUCGAACGGAAAGGCCCUGCUUUUGUGGGGUGCUCGAGUGGCGAACGGGUGAGUAACACGUGAGUAACCUGCCCUUGACUUUGGGAUAACUUCAGGAAACUGGGGCUAAUACCGGAUAGGAGCUCCUGCUGCAUGGUGGGGGUUGGAAAGUUUCGGCGGUUGGGGAUGGACUCGCGGCUUAUCAGCUUGUUGGUGGGGUAGUGGCUUACCAAGGCUUUGACGGGUAGCCGGCCUGAGAGGGUGACCGGCCACAUUGGGACUGAGAUAAGGCACAGACUCCUACGGGAGGCAGCAGUGGGGAAUAUUGCACAAUGGGCGGAAGCCUGAUGAAGAAACGCCGCGUGCGGGAUGACGGCCUUCGGGUUGUAAACCGCUUUCGCCUGUGACGAAGCGUGAGUGACGGUAAUGGGUAAAGAAGCACCGGCUAACUACGUG
rnacentral:rRNA from 1 species